CAGGUGACAUUUUUCCAACAGGGUACUAUUCCAUGUGUAUGUCAUGAUGGAAGAUUUAUUAUGGAGACACCAUAUAAGGUAGCAAAGGCUCCCGAUGGUAAUGGCGGAGUAUAUGCUGCUCUAAAAUCUAAAAGGUUGCUCGAUGAUAUGGCUGCAAAAGGUGUUAACUAUGUAGAUUGCUAUGGAGUUGAUAAUGUAUUGGUAAGUACGUUCUUUAUGCUGUUCAUUUCAUGGAGCCUUCCUUUUUUGUCAUCAUUAAAUAUUUAAUUUAUUUGAUACAGGUCUGUGUUGCAGAUCCAACAUUCCUAGGAUACUUCAUUGACAGAGGUGUAUAUGCUGCUGCUAAGGUUGUCAGGAAGGCAUAUCCACAAGAGAAAGUUGGAGUAUUUGUUCAGCGUGGAAAGGGUGGACCCCUCUCUGUAGUUGAAUACAGUGAAAUGGAUGCAGCUAUGACAACUGGAAUCAAUCAAACUACUGGCCGCCUUCGUUAUUGCUGGAGCAAUGUAUAAUUCCUACACCUGCCCCCCCUAUAUAGGCAUUAACAAUUGUGUAUUUCUUUUAUGUCAUAGGUCUGCUUGCAUAUGUUCACUUUGGAUUUUCUGAACCAAGUGAAAAACAGUCUUGAAAAGGAUAGCAUUUACCAUCUAGCCGAGAAGAGAAUUCCUUCAGUCCAUGGGUACACAUCAGGAUUAAAGCUUGAAUAAUUUAUAUUUGAUGUAUUCAACUAUUCUCCUUCAACAUCUCUUUUUGAGGUUUUGCGUGAGGAGGAAUUUGCGCCAGUGAAGAAUGCUAAUGGUGCAACUUAUGACACUCCUGACAGUGCCAGAUUAAUGCUGCUUCGGCUACAUAGCCGCUGGGUGGUUGCUGCAGGUGGCUUCUUGACUCAUUCUGUACCCUUGUAU